CUCUUCUUCUUCCAGUGUUGUACUGUCCUGUUGUCUACGGAUAAUAGUGCCAACCUAAAUGUGUCCCACCAGAGCGCUUCCCUUGACACGUGGAUUCUGCAAACUGCCAAAACACUACCAGAACCGGAUUUUUCGGGAAACUUUGCGUCUGCGCUAUCUCGUGCCAUGACUUGCUGCCGCACCAGGCCGCUAUCGUCGUCAACGCCUCUGGAGCCCAUAUAUAAGCGAAUUCAUCUGUGUGCGAUCGACUAUUGGCAUGGUGGUACCCAAAUGGCAACGCACACUAAAUGUCUGCUCUUCUUCUUCCAGCAGCUGCCUGUUUUGUGAACGAAGUUGGAGCUCGUUCCUGAUUGAUUCAGGCCGUCAACCGACCCAUCGGUUGGUUCUGAAACUUGUUGCAGUAGUGGAUGUGCUGUAGCGGUCCUCGAUAUUCCAUCUAAGGACAAGGCGAAGCCGCCGUGUCAUACUCGCGGCUAAGGCAGGUCUGAUGAAUUUGACAGAAAUGUUCGAUACAAAUAAAAGAGGGUCAGAGAAAUC